UCCGUAGGCAGCGAGCGUUGUUCGGAGUUACUGGGCGUAAAGCGUGCGCAGGCGGUUUUUCAAGCCGGGUGUGAAAUCCCCGGGCUUAACCUGGGAAUGGCAUUUGGGACUGCAAGGCUGGAGUGCGGCAGAGGAGACUGGAAUUCCUGGUGUAGCAGUGAAAUGCGUAGAUAUCAGGAGGAACACCGAUGGCGAAGGCAGGUCUCUGGGCUGACACUGACGCUCAUGCACGAAAGCGUGGGGAGCAAACAGG
rnacentral:rRNA from 1 species